GCUUUCAACGUUAGUUAUAUAACAUUGGUUUCUGUUACAAUAUCAACUUACACAGUCCUGAGCAUCUGCAGUUGUUUGUUGUGUCGCUGGCAGAAUAAAACGAUGAAGUCCAUCUUCCUGCUACUUGUCUCUGUUGUCUUAAUGUACGUAAAUGCUAAAGGUGUGCAGAUGAUUCCUAAUAGUUGUGAUGCCCGAGAACAUUUCAAAUACUGGAAAUACUAUAGUGGUGGAGUUCCUGAAGAAUUCACAGGAAUGACGGGUGAAAGGGGAACCCGUGACGUACAUAGUAAUCCUAAUACGAAAUGGAGUGGCGGAUGCUGGUUGUAUUAUGGUGCAGGAUUUGGUUUGAGUUUUAAUCACAGAGGUUGGGUAAAAAGAGGAACCCGUAAGUGUUGAGCAUUGGAAGUAACAGAGAGGCAGAACAACCCUUUGAAAGAAAACGUCUGGUUUUUUUUUAAAUUUGUCAGACAAUUAAAUUUUAAAGUUGAAAAUUUCUCUGCAAUUUCUUUUACCAAUAGCACAGUGGAUGCCUUUUUUAAAGCUAGAGACUGAC